AGGAAUAUUUACAAGGUGAUCCCUCAAAGGCUGAGAGACUUAUGGGAUGGAAACCAAAGUGUUCUUUUGAUCAACUAGUGAAGGAGAUGGUUGAAAGUGAUCUUAACUUGAUGAAGAAGAAUCCAUUGGCUUAAACCCGCCAGCUUAAGCUGCAAUACCCAAGAGAGCAACAUCGUGUUUAUAAAUUACCUCUAUAUCAAAUCAUCAUUAUGCCCACAAACCCACUUUUAAUUUUUUUUUUAGCAAUUAACAUGUUCUACAGAGAAUUUCUAGUUAAUGUUGUAUAAUGUAAUGUGGUUCCCGUUGUCAUUUUUGGCUUCCAUGUGCCAUUUACAAUAAUCCUUUAUUCUGUUAUAUUCCUUUUAAUGGUGAAAAGUAUCAUGCAGCAAACAAAGAUAUUUUCUAACUUGUAGGUUUAUGUCAUUUUAAAUGAAUGAGAUAUAUAUAUUUGAUUUUAGAUACAAAUGUUGACCAAUGAUUUGAGAAGAAAGUUGAUUGCCAUUUUGAUUUUGCCAGGAUCUACACAAUGCAUCAUGCAAAAGUUGAAUUGGUGCUAAUCAUGCUUGUUUUGAGAUAGAGUAGCCAUGUUCAGUCUCUGUUUUUAUAGUAGUUGAUAGUAUAUUCCAAAUUCUAAGAAUUUCCCUCUGAGAUUUGUAAAUCUGAAAAAAAAAUUAGUUUGGUUGAUUGGAUGUCUUUUGUUUCGCUGAUCUAGCAUUUUUGCUAACUUCAGUAUUCUCGCAUUCCCACAAUGUUCCAGUUCUUUGUGUUGCCAUUGCAAAGUUAGUUUUUAGAAUAUUUGUGAAAGUAUCUGUGGACUAGAAAAUAUUGCUCAAACAUGUAUUGCAUCUCUUCAAAGGUAUACUCCAUUAUAAUAACUCCAGUCGGUUACCAUUGCAAUGUCUUUCAGAAAAUUGUCUUCAUAUAUCUUAAGAUAUGAAAUUUGUAGUGCGUGGUAGAAUGGAAAGCUUGUUUGUUGCUGUAAAUAUGAAAACUUUAUAAAAAUAUGAAUGUAAGUGUUGAGAUAGAUAUGAAUAGGGAAACUUGCUGCUCACAAAGUAGUCGAGCAACAAAUAUUUUUUUAAAGGAACCUUCAUUGUAUGCCAUGAUGUAUUCCAUUGCAAGCAGUUGCUGCCUGUAUUAAGCACUUUAAUUCUGUUUUACUAAAAAUAUUUCCAGCUUUUUCUUAUUUAUAGACUACAUUCCAUGGCGAUAGAAAACAAAAGAAGAACAAUAUUUUGGCUGAAAAUGUGUAUGAACUUUAAUAACAUAUUUUUUUCUUUACAAUUAUGUCUACAUAUCUUAAAUUUAGAAAGUCGAAUCAAAUUUGUCUGAAUCCGGAAAUUUUUCUGAAUACAUUCAUGCAUGUUUAUACCACAGAUUUAUACUUGAAAAAUUUGUCAUUACAAUGCUAUAAUGGUACACUAUUUGAGAUCUUGUGCGGGCAUUUGUUACCAUAAAUGAUCUUGGAAAAUUGCCACGAGUCUAUUUCUCAAACGAACUCUGGCAUGAAGUGAAGUAUAUUUAUUUCAGAAAAUAUUAUAAUCAGGAAUUGCAUGAAUAGAAUGGACUUAAUUAAUGGUGAAAAAAAAGCAUUUGGUGAAAGGAAGAUAAAUCAGUUAUUCAAAUGCCUUGCUUUAAGAUACGAUUGAUAAUCGUAUGGUAUAAUGUGAAGUGCCUUUAUGACUUUUUUGUAUACUUAUUUAAUUCCACCAACUCUGAAAAAUAUGGUGUUGGGUAAGCAACUUGUUAUAUAUUUAUACUAUUUAUUCUUCUCGAGUUUGUAGUUGGUAAUUAUAAUCAUUUCUAAAAUGAGAUACUAUUUUAUUUUUGCUGAGUAUAUGUUAAAUUAAUAUCUUAUUCUGCUAAACUGCAUCGGGAUAAAAGUUAUAACUAGUCAAACCAAAAAAUGAAGAAAAAAAUACAACUAUAUGUAGUGUGUUUAUGUUUAUCUUUUUUAUGCUAUUAAAAUAAUUUACAAAUUAAGAAUCGACUACAAAGAAGACAUCUCAUAAUCAAAUGGUUAUUCUUGUCUCAGUGUUUUUCUAUUUCUCUUCUGAAAUGAGAGUUUAAUUAUAAUUAUGUGAAUCUAUCUGUAAUUUUAAAAAUUCAUGUGUUGAAUAAUAUUGAAAAGGUAAAAAAAUUUAUCAAAAUCGAGUUUGUAGUUGGUAAUUAUAAUCAUUUCUAAAAUGAGAUACUAUUUUAUUUUUGCUGAGUAUAUGUUAAAUGAAUAUCUUAUUCUGCUAAAGUGCAUAGAGAUAAAAGUUAUAACUAGUCAAAUCAAAAAAUGAAGAAAAUAAUACAACUAUAUGUAGUGUGUUUAUGUUUAUCUUUUUUAUGCUAUUAGAAUAAUUUACAAAUUAAGAAUCGACUACAAAGAAGACAUCUCAUAAUCAAAUGGUUAUUCUUGUCUCAGUGUUUUUCUAUGUCUCUUCUGAAAUGAGAGUUUAAUUAUAAUUAUGUGAAUCUAUCUGUAAUUUUAAAAAUUCAUGUGUUGAAUAAUAUUGAAAAGGUAAAAAAAAAUUAUCAAAAUAUUUUAAUAUUGAUUUUAUUGCAGGUUUUGGAAGUUUCAAACCUGGGCUGAUGGGAAAGUAUAUUGAUCUGCAUUGUGUAUCAUGUAUAGGGUAACAUGUCUAUUUCCAUUAGGAAUGGAGGGGUUUCUGACAUUUGAUUGAUUGAACCAAAAAAAAAAAUACAUUGAAAUGUUUGCAAGUUCUUUUGAAGUGCAAUGUGGCAAUGAGAAGCAUUAUUAAUUUUAUGUUCUAUCUACACAAUUAUAUUUUAGUGAUUAGGAACAACUUAUCCCUUUUAUGCCAUUUUGUAAUUGUAUUUUUAGUUUACUGACCCGCCACCACACCCCCUUCCCUCCCCCAUCGCCACUCUCCAACCACACCCCUUUCACUCUUACAUAUUGGUAAACUGCUUACUUCUCCACCACCCCGUCCACCACAUACUUGACAACUCUGCCUAUUCCUAUUACACAUUUUUUUACACCCUUCUCAUCUACCCCCCUAUCCCCCUUCUCCCAUGUUACCCCCCUCCCUAUCACACCCUUUCACUACCCUCCCCCCCCCCCGACAAAUCCGUCCGCAAUCCCUUUCUCCUCCUCUUAUCUGAGUGUUGUCACUAGCCUGUCAUGUCCCAUCAUCGCGAUGGCAAGAGCGUGGAGAACGAGAGCAGGAGUGGACCAGAUUUGAGGCAAUUUGUCACGAAAAAAUAGGCGAAAAGAGCAGAGGGGAAAAAUCAAUCGGGGGCUAGGCAAUCUUGCGGAAAUCCUCCUCGCUGUGUGGUCUCCAUCUUCAUAUUUUUCAUCUCGCUAUCGUGACAGUUGUCGCUUAUCCGCCCUACUCGGGCUUAUCCCCCCGAUGAGGUUAGCAAAGGGCGUAGGUCUUGGGGUUGGAGCGGGUGGGGUUAUAGGUGCGGUUUGGGGAUGGAAGCAGUGGGUAUUAUCUGGUUGCCAGAUUGAGGGAUGAUGUAUGGGGGUGGGGUGGUUUGGAUAAAGCUUGGCGGGUAUAUCCUUUUCUCUUUUUGAUGUAUUACUGUUUACAUUUUCAGUCAUUUUAGUUUCCUCACCACCUUGCGCAAAUAGCAUUAUUUUGUAUAUUUCUGGAUUCUGUAAUGAAUAACUUUUAUAUCUCUACUUCUCUUGAAUCGUCAUGUCUGACGAAAUUGAUAGCAUUUCUAUCAAAUAAAAUCGAAGGGAACAAGAAAGAAUAAUU